GGGAGAUGGAAUUGGGAAUUAAAGACUGAAACUUGUCACAGAAGCCAAGGCCAAGAAACUCCUGGCAGAUCAAUUCAAACUGGACCCUAAACUCAUCGAGAUGGAGAAGGCUCAUAGGAAUGGCUUAUAGGAAUGACACAUUCUUCCUCGAUGGACGGCCCAGAUCUAUAGCGGUAAAACUGCAUCUUUCUGAUGGACGGCCCAGAUCUAUAGCGGUAAAACUGCAUCUUUCUGAUGGACGGCCCAGAUCUAUAGCGGUAAAACUGCAUCUUUCUUUUUCCCAACGCAGUUACGCCAAAACUGCACCCCGUUAUUCAGAGGGGCGUUCUACUACUCUCCCAUUGGCCUUCUAGUGUUUUCUCACUCACAGGCGAUCAGCGCAAAGACAGUGACCUUCCAAGAGUUGCAAUGGGUUGUAAAAAUGUCUCAGAAAACUCUGCUGAAUUCCCUCAAUUGAAGGUCAGAAUUCCAAACACUCCAAGAACCAUGGCUGUAACCGGUAGUUAUACACCCCCGGGAACCUCAAGCAAAUCGCUCCAUAAUCUAGCAUUUACGACGCAUCACAGUCCUUCACGACUCCGCACAACUGUGGUCCAAGUGCAUUGCGCAGAAUCACCCAGGCCCGAGAAGGGCUACUGGGCUGAAAACGUACGGAUUCAAGAAUAGGAGCUCUAUGGAUAUGACUCCAACGAUACACGCCCGGAAGAAUCUGUAAAGCCAUGUGAAAAUAUUCUAGAACCCCCGGUAUCCAUAAUUCCACAGAACAGCCUGCGUCAAAAAGCAGAGACUCCCCGGCGUAUACCGGCACAGAAGGCCCAACACAUCGAGAGCACGUGUUCGUGGAGGAAUUCGGCGCCCAGGACAUGCACAGUAAAACACUGAAACGGGAUGAUUUCAAUGCUUUAAAUGACAAUUCUGAGCUAGAAAAUUUGCUGUUGUGGCCAGCCACAUUGAUAGAGCCAAUUCUGAGGUAGAAACACCAGAUCCUGAAAUAGAACAAGAUAGGAUUCUCACAGCCUUUUACAGGGCUCUAAAAUCCAGAAAGGUCUUGCUACACAAACGUAUGGUGGCUUUACUCAAGCGGCAAUACAGUCAAGAUUAUCCUUCUGGCAUAGAACAAUGCCCCAUUUGUUAAACAACAAUCUGAUUAAAAAACGCAAAUACAAGCGCUAAAAUCUAUAUGUAAAAUGGAUCCUUCCAGAAUACCACAAGAACACACAUCCUUAAUUAACCAAAUGAUUGAGACCGGGGUGACAGAUCCCAUAAUUCAGACACUUGGAAACCUGUUAUCACAGAUCCCAGAAGAACUCAUAUCCUUAAUUAAUCAAAUGAAUGAGGCAGGGCCAACAGAUGAAAACCUGUUAUCACAGAUCCCCACCGAACUCAUAUCCUUAAUUAACCAAAUGAAUGAGAGCACAAGAUCUUCGACACCAGACCACCCACACACACCUCCUUUAACUCCCAUAUCCAAGGAGUCUGAACCACAAUACAAGGUUUUUGAGGAAUUUGACAAUUGUAGAAUAAAUCAGAGGG
ensembl:lncRNA